GUGUGCGCGCUUCAGGGCCAGUUUCAGCGGAACGCUCUGUUUUCUGCUUACUGCUAAAUCCUCCUUCUAGAUACACGUUUCAGUAUUAUUAUCCGUGAUUCGCUGUAAUAGGGAAUGUAGCCCAUUUCUUCCCUUUCCAUACGCUACACCUCGACCUGACGUUCUGGGUUGUACCAAUUGUGCUUACUAGGGGACCUUCAUAGGGUAAGCUGGCGACGGCGGUAUAUAGGCGGAAAUGACUAGGAAAGGUGAGGUUAAACGGGGGUUAUCGGUUAUAGAACAGGCUCCUCUAGGUGGGUCUAAAGCACCGCCAAGUCCUUUGGGUUUUAAGCUAUUGCUCGUAGUUUCCAGGCGGAUAGUAAUUGU
rnacentral:rRNA from 1 species